rnacentral:rRNA from 1 species
AAUAAGCUACAUAAGAGCGUAUGGGGAAUGCCUAGGCUCUCAGAGGCGAUGAAGGACGUGAUAAGCUGCGAAAAGCUGCGGGGAUUGGCACAUACAAAUUGAUCCGCAGAUAUCCGAAUGGGGCAACCCAGCAUAUUGAAGAUAUGUUAUCCGAAAGGAGGCGAACCCGGAGAACUGAAACAUCUAAGUACCCGGAGGAGAAGAAAACAAAAGUGAUUCCGAUAGUAGCGGCGAGCGAACUCGGAUUAGCCCAAACCAGUGUUGUUACGGCAAUGCUGGGGUUGUAGGACCACGAUAUUUGAUGCGUAAUGAAUUAGAACACUUUGGAAAGAGUGACCAGAGAGGGUGAUAGUCCCGUAUAAGUAAAGAUCGUUAUUGAUAGUGGUAUCCUGAGUAGUGCGGGGCACGUGUAACC